rnacentral:tRNA from 1 species
GAGAGUACAGCUCAGUGGUAGAGCGCACGCUUAACAUGCACAAGGUCCUGGGUUUGAGCCCCAGUACUUCCA